UACGGGGGGGGCAAGCGUUGUUCGGAAUUACUGGGCGUAAGGGCUCGUAGGCGGCCAACUAAGUCAGACGUGAAAUCCCUCGGCUUAACCGGGGAACUGCGUCUGAUACUGGAUGGCUUGAGUUUGGGAGAGGGAUGCGGAAUUCCAGGUGUAGCGGUGAAAUGCGUAGAUAUCUGGAGGAACACCGGCGGCGAAGGCGGCAUCCUGGACCAACACUGACGCUGAGGAGCGAAAGCCAGGGGAGCAAACGGG
rnacentral:rRNA from 1 species